UUAUAUAAAAUUAUUCAGUUGGGAGAAUCCUAUUUUUGACCAUCAUUCUAUAUAGUUCUACUAAUGGUAUAGUUCUGAUUAUGGUGUAUUUCUAAUAAUGGUGUAUUUCUGAUAAUGGUGCAAACUCUAAAGUUUUGAAAAUGAAGGUUAUCUUCAGCAGAGUGAAAAGUAGAAGAGUUAAAAUUGCAGCUUGUUACUGAUACUUCCUAUCAGUUCCAGCUGAGCUGCCAAAGACCACCAGCACAACAUAUGGCAUUAGCCAUCGAACACCUGCAGAACUUUAAACAUUGAUCUUUAGCUUGCCCUUUCAGUCACAGACUUGAGCAGUGCAAAAUAUUGUUUCCAUGGCUGCUAUGUAAGUCUCUUAUUAAAUGAAAAAUAAAAGUGCAGGAUGAAAGGUGGAGAAGUCCAGCAUUAAACCAAAUCAUACAUGAGGGAGUGGGUGAGGUGACACUAGGAAUUUAAGAUUCAUUUUUCAGAUAUUCAUUCUUCAACUAAAAGUUGGUGAUGUCAAAGGGUUUCCCUGUUCUGUUUUGCUCUCAUCAGAUUCAGAUUCAAGGAACAACUGGGCUCAUAAACAGUCAGGAGUGUCAUGUUGGAUUCCCAUGUCCCAGGAGAUGGCGAAUCUAACAGCUCACUCCUCCUGGCUCAACCACAUUGUUGGCCAGCAGGCUCUUCUAUUAGAGGGGCUAUAUCUCCCCUGUCCCAGCCUUUGGAAUAAUUUCAAGAAUAUUUCUGCUCUUUAAAUGUUUUUCAACAGCCAUCUCUUGAUGGGAAAUAUAGAGACUAAAAAAUAGCACUGAGGUAAUUUCACUGAAAAAUAUAAGGCUUUCCACACACUGUUGAGAUAGAAGCAAAUUUUCUUUACAAAGGUCAGGGAAUCUUGGCAUCCGUCUGUAAGCUUUGUUCAUUUGGUUAAUGCUAAAUAUGAAUCACUAAAUUUAGCAUGCUUCUGAAUGGCAGUUCAUCUAAACAGUCUAAACAGCACAAUCCUUUGUCAUUUUAGAUCAUACGAAAUAAGUUUAAGUAUUAUUGUCAUGUAAAUUUUUUCAGUGAUUAAUACAAAUCCUUGAAAUGAAAACAAAGACUCAAUUAAGACAUCAGGUUGUCCCUAUUAUGCUAUGGCACUUUUCUAAUUGUUUCCAUGCAAAACUAUCUAACAGCUUGUUAUCCAAAGGUCAGAAUAAUGCCCAAGCAUGGACAAACCCUCUGAGUGUCAUAUUCAUGGAAUGCUAGAUGACUUCAUAGCUAUGAAAUUAUUUCAUUUCUCAUGAUAAUUCCUGACUUGCCAAGUUAGUGAAUUUUAAGAACUCUGAGAGCAGAUUGUAAGAUAAAUGUGAAAUAAUCCAUACUUCUGGAGUCAGGGACUUCCCUCCAGGCAUUAGUUCAUACUUGACUUACUUGACUUACUCUUGGGGAUAAAAUGAGUUAGGACAAGGUCUUAGAUACCACAUUCUCUUACUGGGAAAGAAAACCAACUUGCACAACUUCAGCUGGCUCAUGUUUCUUGUUACACAGGCACUAAGAAGCAGCGGUUGCCAUGAAAUACUUUAUUUAACCUCUGCAAAAUGUUUUUUUAGUAUGGCAAGGCAGUUCAGUUAAAUGAAAAUAAAUAGUUUUUAAAGGAUUGUAUUUCUUUUACAUUCACAUCAAGAAAAUUCUCCAUUUUUCUUUUGCUAAUUAAGCAUAGUGAGAGAUGCUGUAAUUGCCCAUUUGAAUUAUUUAACAUAAAUAUAUAUACCUAAAGUUAUUUUUGUAGUAGCACAUAGUUAUAUAAUGCUUUAUUUACAUUUAGAAUUAAUUUUAAUAUUAAGCUACAAUAGGCUGUAAUUAAAAAUUGUUAAACUUUUUCAUGUUACAAAAUCAGCUAUAGCACACCAAGGAUUUGGAUUUAUCAGCUAUUGAUGGUGUCCCUCCAACUGUUUGGCUUAACUUAAAGCUCCUUCCUUCCUUCAUUUUUUCACAGCCCGGAUAUUCUACAUUUCAGGGAACCUAACCUUUCCCUUUUAACUUUCACUCUGAUUCCUGCAGGUCUCGCUAGUUUGGCUAAUAUUUCAGUAAUAAGUCUGAGGUCCAAUGCUCACUUUUCUACUCUGCUCCAUCCCCCACAUUUUCCUCAGAUUUCAUGAGGUUUUGUCCUUCCUUAGGGAUAAGACACCCCCAACUAUAUAGUCCCUUUCAGAAUUGGGGUAAGUCCAAAACUGGUGAUAUUUAAGGCUUUAAGCAAUUCUAGCAAAAGUUGCCAGACCUUGUGAGUUCCUUUUGCAGAUUUUAAUGAAAGUUAGAGGUCUGUUAGAUAUCAUUAAAAGAGAAGAGAAGCUACAUCACUCCUGUGCCUUACAGACAACACUGGCUCCUACGUUAUUAUUGGAUCCAGUCUGCACUCCUUAUCUUGAUCUUCAAGUUGCUUUGUGGGAUGGGCCCCAGUUAUGUCAAAAGUCAUGUUUGUCUCCAAGACAGCUGUGCUUUUUAGAACUGGAGCAUAUGAUACAUAGGGUGAAACUCUGAAGUUAGAAGAGAUCGGACCUUCUUAGCAAUUUACUCAGAGUUAAGGAAUUUUGUCUUGCAAGACAGUAGGCAGUCAGAGAGUCCCACUGGGGGUCACAGCAAAUGUUAAAACCAGCUAUUCACAUGGGUGUCCCCUGAACAUAUCCUGCAGCGAUUGUUUGCUUGUGAAUAAAGAGCAAAAAUCUUCUAUAACAUGCUAGUUAUUACUAGUUAUUUUCCCUACACUCAGCAGUCCUCUGAAAAAGCAAAGAAUAAUGGAUCUAAAUUCAUUAUUUUACUUCCUGUGCAAAACAUAAUGUUGCAUAGAAGUCCGCGUUUAAAAUAGGAGCUCCCAAACCUUUCUCCAGAGCCUUCCUCCAGCUUUAUGAUAACAGCCCAUUUUCACUUUUCACCAUCGUUGACUUGAAGCAGCAAGUGUAGUGGGUAAAAAUCAGUUCCUAUGUUGAUUUGGGCAAUAACUUUAGUGAGAAUGUGGCCAAAUUACUGGUUAUAAACAAUAUAGUUUUAUUUCUUAUCAAAGUAGGUAAAUAUGCCUGAACAGCUCUGUGCCACUUUAUUGCUACUUACAUAGAAUUUGGGGGAGAAUAUCUCUUUUCAUUUGCCUUUCUGUUCUUCUGAAUGUACACUUAUAAAUUCUUGAGUAGAUAUUAGUAGUGGUUAGUAUAUUAGUAAUACCUUCACUGGAACCCAUUUAAAGUUGUUUUUCUCUUAUUUUAAAUAGUCCAAAUUUUCAUUUAUGUUGCAUGUCCAGCAGGAUCAUAAUUCAAUGUUAUUUAUUUCAAAGUUGCCAUUCUUUCAGGUAUUGGGUUAUAUAAAGUAUAAGAUGAUAUACAGUACUCUGUGGGUUCAAACUUAGAAACUGUGACUUUUAUAUUGUGAUAUUUUCCUAUCUUAUUGUUUAGAGAUCUUACAAAUUCUCUGCACAACUUUUUGUACUUUAUAUAAUCCUCCACAGGUCAUUUACAGAACAACAUCAGGGGAAAAAAAAAAGAAACAAAAAACCAAAAAAAGUUGUUUUAUGCUGUUUUACACUUUUCAAGUAGUAAAAAAUGUAUUGUUGCUUUCAUUUGGAGUCCUGCAUCCGAAAUCAAUGGUUAUACUAUGUUAUAUGUAAUUGACUUUCUAGAUACUAUUUGGGGCAGAUAAGGAUUGGUAUUAUCCAUGAAUCACAUGAACCCUUAUAAUUUGGCUACUGUUCUUUAACCAAAAAGCUCUUUUCCACAAUGUGUAGAGCUAGGCCAUACCAUGAGAUUCAGGUCUGCUUUGCAGGUUGUGUUGAGGCUCACAACACCUCCAGGACCCGCCGAGGCUCAGGGUUUAUCUACCAAGUGUGACCUUUUUUGCUGCUAGCCAGCAUGGGGUGACAGAAAUUGCUUUCUCCCAUGCUCUGUACUGGCCUUCCGUCUUACAAGGGCCAGUGAUGUAGAACUGGUCAGAUCUCCCAGGUCCCAUGAGAAAAUGAAGCCAAACUGAAAUUCAAACUGAAUUGGUGGCCGUUGCAGCUGACAAUGUGCAGAAUGAACAUUUCAAUCACUGUUUUCCCAAAUACUCCUUCUCCUUUAAUUUUUCAAUUACAACUUGCUUUAGCUUCAAGUCUUAGAAUUCACCUCCCGCUUCCAGGUCUCCAUUUCUUCCAUGUUUCUGCAUCAUCACGGCUUUUAUUUUACUGUCUUGUAUCUUUUAGAAAAAACAGCUGCUUCCACACCAUUAACCAGGUCCUCACUUGAUUCCUCACAGUCUCUCAGAGUUGAGAGCAAUGCCCCUUAUUCUUCUUCAAAAGCAUUUUCUAGUUUCACUUAGAAGACAGAUGUAAUCUAACUAUAGUGAAACCAAGUUGGUUUCUUGGUGGAUCUACAAGCAAAGUAGAAAUCAAAUUUGUAUCACUAAGCAUUUUGAGGCCACAAGCUUUAAAUUACUUACACAGCUGGAAAAUGCUGCGUUUUCUGGACAGACUCCCUUCUUAGUCUCAUUUUUAAUCCCUCAUUUUAGUCUUCAUGCCUUGUCAUAUGACACUUAGCCUUAUUUACUCAGAUCGUAUCCUUCGCUCACACAUCUAGCUGAAAACCUAAGUAAAUUUUGAGGAGUGCAUAGAAACAUUCUGUGAAGAGACGUUAUAAAGAAUACAGCUUUUCUAGAUAUUUGCUCCAAUAGGAGCAGCUUCAUCUUAGUCUGCCUCCCCAAAGGUAAUUUCUUUCCUUCUUGAAACAGAAAUCUAUAAUGGCUCAGAUUUACAAAUCCAGACCCCUCAAAAUCUAGUCAAAACAACAAACUCUGUUAUCUGCUGAUCCAUUUUCCUAUCAGAAAAUACAGAAAUCAAAUGGUUACACAGACAAGUGCCUAUUUUCACAUAUACAAUAGAUAGUCUGUUUUAAAUUCUCUCUAAACUAUAAAUUGCCACUAAUCACUGGAUUAUAUUUGUUAAAUGCUUUUGAAGUCCAUUGAGUAUUUUUUGUAACUUUAUCCAAUGACUUCUCUUUUCUCCUAAUAUAUGUGCCAUACUUAGCUAUACUUGUUGAACUUUCUUUAAGCAGAGUGUCUAAUAAAUACUUAGAAUUUACUUAAAGUGUGAUAAAUGAAAGGGAGUUACAUGGCAAUUACUAUGAAUCUGUAGUAUUUGGUCAGUUUUAGAGCUCUGCCUUGUUGAGUAUCUAACACCAUCUAUUACGACAUCUUCUGCUAAAAUAAUGUUAAAACCUGAUUACUUAAUUUUCUAAAAUUGCUUCAAUUUUUAUUUCCUGCCAUAUAUCUCUGUAUCACUUAGUGUCAUUUGCUAAUUACUUCUAGGCAUGUUUUCCAGAAAUCUCACAUUUAAAUGACUGAUUUGCCCAGGGAUCCCUUUGCAUUUUCAUGGAAUGCAGUUUCUUGGCUCAGAAGUAAACUUAUGCAGUACCCAACUCUUACAUUGUUAUGUCAUUAAUACAAAUAUAUUGGAUAUCUUUAACUUACAAAGGCUGUUCCCUUUGUAUGUAACAUUUACCAAUGUGUGUAUGUGUAUAUCUUUUUUGUUUCGCUUUCUGAACCAUGAAGUUAAAUGCAGACUAAUCAUUAUGUUACAAAGAAAAUUAGUAAGGCAACAUUUGUGUUCUAAUGACUGCUCAGGGAAAGCUGACAGCGUGUUCCUUGGGAACAUUCGGCUCGUGAGCAAAGCUGUUUAUACAGGGUGGGAGACAUCCUAAUGUUGGAGCUACAUAAAAUUACUAAUCAUCAAUUAUGGCAUUUAUAUGACAUCUGUCUUUGAGGCACACCAUGUUUUGUGUGCCUUCUAGCUUUAGUACCUUUUCUCAUUAUUUGGCUGUCAUUUCCAGCUACCAGUCUCUCCAAAGUAAACAGUUUUCUUGUUUCUCUUAGUUUUCAUAUGCGAUGAGAUUUAUUCCCAGCUGCCUCUGUAAGAAACUGAACUGAUUCCAGCCACUGCAGUUGGACUUUUUUGUUUUGUUUUGUUUCGUUUUUCCUUUUCUGUAACUAAUACUUAAGAAUCAAAGCGACGUGUUUAUGACUUUGAGUGUCCUAGUGCACAGCUUCCCUCAGUGUAUUCUUGAAUAUAAAAGCUCUGCCCAGUCAUGUGCACAUCCAGAUGCAUGCCCAUGUUCACACUGGCACAUAUUAGCCUUUGUGCUUCCAGCAUAAAACUAAUUUGAAUCUAAAUGCAACAGUCAUCACUCUUGCAAAUUCAAAAGCCACCCACUGAAUGGAUGUUAUUGUUCUGUGUGUAACUUGUGCUGAGGAUACCACAAAUUGCAAACAGGCUACUGAGUUGUAAUGUCUUUGAAAGUUGUUGCUGCGG